rnacentral:rRNA from 1 species
CGCAGCCGCGGUAAUUCCAGCUCCAAUAGCGUAUAUUAAAGUUGUUGCAGUUAAAAAGCUCGUAGUUGAAUUUCGGGAUUGACGUAAUGGUCGUGCCUUAAGGGGUAUGAACUGUUACUGUUGAUUUCUCACCUUCUGGAGAAACUUGAUGUCCUUAAUUGGGUGUCUUGCGGAUCCAGGACCUUUACCUUGAAAAAAUUAGAGUGUUUAAAGCAGGCAUUUUUGCUCGAAUACAUUAGCAUGGAAUAAUAGAAUAGGACGGCAUGGUUCUAUUUUGUUGGUUUCUAGGAUCACCGUAAUGAUUAAUAGGGAUAGUUGGGGGCAUUAGUAUUCAAUUGUCAGAGGUGAAAUUCUUGGAUUUAUUGAAGACUAACUACUGCGAAAGCAUUUGCCAAGGAUGUUUUCAUUAAUCAAGAACGAAAGUUAGGGGAUCGAAGACGAUCAGAUACC